GACGAACGCUGGCGGCGUGCUUAACACAUGCAAGUCGAACGGAAAGGCCCUGCUUUUGUGGGGUGCUCGAGUGGCGAACGGGUGAGUAACACGUGAGUAACCUGCCCUUGACUUUGGGAUAACUUCAGGAAACUGGGGCUAAUACCGGAUAGGAGCUCCUGCUGCAUGGUGGGGGUUGGAAAGUUUCGGCGGUUGGGGAUGGAUUCGCGGCUUAUCAGCUUGUUGGUGGGGUAGUGGCUUACCAAGGCUUUGACGGGUAGCCGGCCUGAGAGGGUGACCGGGGACAUGGGGCCUGAGGGAGGGAGCAGUAGGGUACGGGACGCAAUAGUGGAGAGUAUUACGCAGUAAGGGCGAGCGAGAGACGGAGGCUCCGCGUGCGGGAUGAUGUCUUACUGGUUGUGAACCGCUGUGGCCUGUGAUGUGGAGGGAGUGACGGUAAUGGGUCAGGAAGCACCGGCUAACUACGUG
rnacentral:rRNA from 1 species